rnacentral:rRNA from 1 species
UACGGGGGGGGCAAGCGUUGUUCGGAAUUACUGGGCGUAAAGGGCCAGUAGGCGGCCAACUAAGUCCGACGUGAAAUCCCCAGGCUCAACUUGGGAACUGCGUCGGAUACUGGAUGGCUUGAAUUCGGGAGAGGGAUGCAGAAUUCCAGGUGUAGCGGUGAAAUGCGUAGAUAUCUGGAGGAAUACCGGUGGCGAAGGCGGCAUCCUGGACCGACAUUGACGCUGAACGGCGAAAGCUAGGGGAGCAAACGGG